rnacentral:lncRNA from 1 species
GUCUGACAGCAGCACCAACUCCAGGUCCACGUGUGCUCCUUGCACCGACCCCUCCACCCAUGCCUCCACGUCCAAUAGUUCCACUGGUCAUUGAACCACUGUCUGAUGUCUCUGGCUCCAUAUAGAAACGAGCUCGGAAUGCUGCAAGGUGGGCAUAGUAUGCUGGGGGAACUGCAACAUACAACAGAAACCUCACACAACAUUGCAUAAAAAAUAGUUGGGAAAAAGAAAAAGCAAGAUUGUGCAUCUGCAUUUGUGUGCAUGCACUCGAAUACGAGAAUGCGGGCAAGAGAGAGAGCUUACCAAUGGAAACAGAACGAGUGCACCUAGCAUAUCUGCAAUAAUACAGCAUAGCAGCGACUCAAUGUCACAAUCUUAGGCUAAAAAUCAAUAAGGUGAUAAAUUUUCAACCUAAAAACCUAGGAAACCAUGACAACCAGCAGAUUAUUA